CACAUCUUCAGCAGACUCAGUGCGACAAAAGUUCCUGGUGAUUUGGAGAGCACUAGGAAGAUAGUCUAGACAAGUCCACCUCUGCCUAGUGUCGUCAUCAUAGCCCUCAGAUGGUAUGUCCAAAAUUGACCUCAAUUUAGGUGCAUCAAAUUGCACCUUCACUCCCCUAACCACACUGGUAACAAACCCAUUUUUCACAGUGGCAUUUUCCAUAAAAUCGAUCAACUCCUUUCUUGCCAGCUUUCCAUCCAGUUGAAGAACCAUGUCCUUCCAACCUUGUGUAGCUAGAGCAACCACCAACCUAUUCAUGCCUGGCUUCUCCAGAUCUUUCAGCAACCUCCCCUUCAGAAUCAUUCUCCUGCCAAAUAUGGCAAAUCGAUCUUGUUCCUUUUCAAACUCCUCCUCUUCUUCUUCUCCACUACACUCUUCUUCUUCUUCCUCUUCUUCCUCUUCUGUAACUUUUAAUUGCUUUCCCUUCACUACAGACCUAGUUCUUUUGGCUAAGG
rnacentral:lncRNA from 1 species